rnacentral:rRNA from 1 species
GACGAACGCUGGCGGCGUGCUUAACACAUGCAAGUCGAACGGAAAGGCCCUGCUUUUGUGGGGUGCUCGAGUGGCGAACGGGUGAGUAACACGUGAGUAACCUGCCUUUGACUUUGGGAUAACUUCAGGAAACUGGGGCUAAUACCGGAUAGGAGCUCCUGCUGCAUGGUGGGGGUUGGAAAGUUUCGGCGGUUGGGGAUGGACUCGCGGCUUAUCAGCUUGUUGGUGGGGUAGUGGCUUACCAAGGCUUUGACGGGUAGCCGGCCUGAGAGGGUGACCGGCCACAUUGGGACUGAGAUACGGCCCAGACUCCUACGGGAGGCAGCAGUGGGGAGUAUUGCACAAUGGGCGGAAGCCUGAUGCAGCAACGCCGCGUGCGGGAUGACGGCCUUCGGGUUGUAAACCGCUUUCGCCUGUGACGAAGCGUGAGUGACGGUAAUGGGUAAAGAAGCACCGGCUAACUACGUG